rnacentral:misc_RNA from 1 species
UAAUAGAAUAGUUCCUAAGAAGAAAUCAAACACAAACUUAUCAAAGAAAGCAGUUUUACAGAAAGACACCAGAACCGACACCAAUGGGACCAAUUUGUUUCCCACAAACGCUAAUGUACAUUAUAAUCUUUUACAUAUCACUAAGAAUGCCUUAGAAGAGGCCAAAUCAUUUGUAAGACUUGUAAAGAUAGUUUAUUGAUGCUGAAGAUCAAGCCACAAUUUAGCACUCACAUCCACUUGACCUAGGCUGACUGCUGGCUCCAACAUCAAUGGUAUCUGGCAAAUAACUUCAAACCACAAAUUUGCCACCAGAAGCAAAACCAAAAAUGAUAUCAGAGUCAUUUUAAAUUUGUUCAAAUAGAAAAUGGAUAAUAACUUGUAGCUCUUAGCAAGUUCACUGCAAUAGUCAAAUCAUCUAAUUUGACGGAGUUGUGGCACCAUGGUUUGUGCUUCACAAAAUGAAAAUGCAACAUUUACUAUUUAAGUAAACACAGUUUUGGUUUUGGGAGUCACAUGGGAACAAACAGGGGUACUGAAUCAAUUUUCAAACUUUCUCACUAGCUAAUCCAAAUGUAGAACUACUCUAAAAGAUCAAUAGAUAUGUUUCAGAACUAUUAAUUACAAUAGAUAUUUGGGAUAACAUGACAUUCCUUCAUAGGUAUUUUUAGUUUAACGUGCAAUUCAAAAUUUUAUCAAACUAGUAACUUGUCAAACUACAUGUGCAGUUGUGCAUUCCUAAACAUAGUAAUCACCAUAAAAACAAAGGCUGUACAUAAAACAAAGGCUGUACAAGUGUGUGCAGAUGAAGAUGAUUAGUUCUGUAACUUACAUCUCCUCCUCUUCCCCACUCUUCAGGGCAUUCUUUGCUAUGCAUUGGAAAGCUUCUUCCACAUUAAUGCCUUCUUUGGCAGAGGUCUCAAAGUAUGGGAUAUUCCCUUUCGAGGCACACCAAGCUCGUGCCUUUUUUUCUGAAACCACUCUACUAUUUCCACCAUCCACAUCAAUCUUGUUUCCAAGAACAACAAAUGGGAAAUUCUCUGGAUCUGACGGACUUGCCUGAAUAAGGAAUUCUUCCCUCCAGUUGUUAAGGUUGUCGAAAGAUUUCAUUGAAUUAACAUCGUAUACAAGAACACAGCAAUCAGCACCACGAUAGAAUGCAACACCAAGGCUUUGGAAUCUUUCCUGGCCAGCAGUAUCCCAGAUCUGUAAAGUGAAGAGCCUAUCUUCGAAUUGCACUUCCUUAGUCAAGAAAUCAGCUCCAAUUGUCGCCUUGUAUUGAUUGCUAAACUUCUUAUUUACAUAUCUAAAAAGCAGCAAGUCAAGAAAAACAUAUGCAAAGACAAAAAGCACCAGUUGCUUUAUCAUGGCAAUGAAUUUUUUUCCCUUAAUGAAACAUAUAUAUCACUAAUCAGAUAACCAAAUGAAACACAUACAUCACUAAUCAGAUAACUAAUAACUUAAGGAUACUGAUUCAUCAAAGAGGUCUUUCCCACCCUGUAAAUCACAAUCAAAUGCAAUUUAUUAACUUAAACUUCACCAAAAACAAUGCAGAACAUUUAUUAGUAGCAACUAAGACAGCCACAACAGUUCAAAUCACUUCAUAGGUACAAUUCGCAUUAACAGAAAAGAAUCAAACACUUAAUUUUACCCAAAAUACCUAGCCAAAACAGAUAAUCAUCAGAUUCAUAUUUAACAAAAACAAAAAGUCAGUCACAAAAAUCGAGCAUCGACAACUUGAACAAGUGAAAAUAAAGAAUUCCUAAAUCAGAUCAAAAUUCAACUCGAAAAAUUCAUACGAUCUCGAAAUAUCCGCCUAAUCUACCAAACAAAACCCUAGAAUUUGCAACUAUACAGAAUAAUUACAAACGUAAAGGCAACUAA